rnacentral:misc_RNA from 1 species
UAUGUGUGGUGGAUAGAUAACCAACUCCCACCAAUGCCCAAUUCUCUUUUUCACAGAGCUUCCAUGGCUACUCUUAGCUUCAAUCCUACGAGAAUUCCUAACAAACCCAUCUCCAAUAUCACAUCUUUCUCAAAACCCACAAAAAUAUCCUUCCUUUCCUCUAUAAGACCCACAAAUAACAACCAUAAACCACACCAUUUCCAAUCAAACACCACACUCAAACUCUCAGUUUCAACACAAGAGGAAGUGCAGGUUGAGGACUAUGAAGAAGAUGACCCAACUGCAGAAAUGAGCUAUCUUGACCCAGAAACUGAUCCAGAUAGCAUUACAGAGUGGGAAUUGGAUUUUUGCUCUAGGCCUAUACUUGAUAUUCGAGGCAAGAAAGUGUGGGAGCUUGUUGUGUGUGAUGAUUCACUAUCACUUCAAUACACAAAGUACUUUCCUAAUAAUGUCAUUAAUAGUAUUACUUUGAAGAAUGCUAUUGUGUCCAUUAGUGAAGAUCUUGGUGUCCCUCUGCCAGAAAAAGUUCGCUUCUUCAGGUCACAAUUGCAGACAAUUAUAACAAAAGCAUGCAAAGAGCUGGAUAUAAAGCCUAUUCCAAGUAAACGGGUGUGUUUAGUUUUUGUUAUGGCAUUUUUCCUUUGCUAAUGAACUCAAGCAUAUGAAUUGGUGCCUAUCAAAUGUGAAAAUGGCUAUGCUUUUCAAUGUAAAGAUUUAGUUAGAUGGUGUCACAGAACCAAAUGGGUUCCUUCUGCUAUUACUUAGUUUGGUUGAAUUGUUAGAAAGUUUAAUUGCCAUUGUUCAUUCAAGGCUAGGCAAGUAGAAAUGUCACGAUUUUCCUUUCCUAAUUGGUGGCAGGAAGAAUUUAGAAAUGAUUUCUUGAUCAGUGCAUAGGAUAUACAUGAAAAUAGUGCAUUUUUAUUCACAUAUAAGUGAGCUCCACCCAUGAAAAUAGCUUGUUGCUCCCGCAUAUUUGGGAGUGCAAGGUGCACUAUUUUCAUAUGCACUAGAUGCAAUCAAUGAUUUCUCAGAAUUUAGGGGCUUGUUGAGAUGAAUGAGUCAUAUUUCUGUUUCUUCAAAUCUGGAAUAUUCUGUUCCUUCUGUGAACUUUUCUCCUUUUAGGCCAAAAGCAAAAAAAAAAAGAAGUUGACAUCUCACUAGCAUCCACACGUUCAAGUUCUCCUGAUGCAUGAGUGGCAAGCAUAAGCAAAUUUAAUGUCCUUGUAUUUAUUUAGCCUCCUCCACACUUUGCGGUAUGCCUUGAGUUUCUUGUUAGAACUGCCUCAUUCCAUAUCCUGACAAAUUCUACAUUUGCUUUCAGUGUUUAUCACUGCUUUUAUGGUUGGAAGAGCGAUACGAGACUGUAUAUACCCGUCAUCCUGGCUUUCAAAAGGGAUCUAAACCACUUCUAGCUUUGGAUAAUCCUUUCCCAAUGGAACUUCCUGAGAAUCUGUUUGGGGAGAAAUGGGCAUUUGUUCAAUUACCUUACUCAGGUACAUGCACUGAUGCACAGUAACCGUUGCUUUAGGUGAUAUUGAUAAUACUAAAUUCGUAUAUUGAAGAUUUCAUUUGCACAAGUAGUUUCUUUAAAAUAGCAUAGAGAAUCUACUCCUUUUGCUGAAAAUUCAGUUUUCAAGUGGAGCAUAGGCCACAAGAGGGCCACAAAUUUCAGAAUUAACCAAUAUUCUCAACUUAGAAAUUUCAUGUCUUACUGAAAAAUAGCACGGAACUAUCAACUAUUCUGAUUAUAGUUUCGCAUACUCAGCUGUUCAUGAGGAAGUCUCAUCACUGGAAACAAGAUUUAUGUUUGGUGCAAGUCUAGAUUUGGAUCUUCUAGGAAUUGAAGUCGGUGAUAAGACAUUGAUUCCAGGACUCGCUGUUGCAUCUUCUCGUGCUAAACCAUUGGCAGCCUGGAUGAAUGGACUGGAAGUGUGUUCGAUCGAAGCAGACACAGCUCGUGCUUGCUUGAUUCUAUCUGUUGGAAUUUCAACCCGCUAUAUUUAUGCUACCUAUAAGAAGAGUCCUGUAACAACAGCUGAAGCUGAGGCUUGGGAAGCAGCAAAGAAAGCAUGUGGAGGCUUGCAUUUUCUUGCCAUUCAAGAGGACCUAGAUUCAGAGGACUGUGUUGGGUUUUGGCUUUUACUAGACUUGCCACCUCCUCCUGUAUGAUUUAAUCAAAACUGGAAAUCAACAAUAUAGUGUUUCUUCACUUCUCCCCUGCAGUUUUCUUUAUUACCACUUUUUGCAGGAAAAAGAGAGUUUGAGCAUUGAAUCCAUGGCCCUGCGUGCAAUUAUAGUUAUCUGAAGUGCGUGCAAUGUGAUUAAGGGCGUGUUUUGAAGCUAGCUGUUGGGAUUUACACGAGUCUCCUCAUACAAAUCAUCUUAGAUUCAUAAUAAAUCAAGUUUAAAUAAGAAAAAUCCUAAAUUAUAAUUCUAGUUUUGAGCUCAAAAGCCAAUUUUUA